rnacentral:rRNA from 1 species
UUGACUUAAGCAUAUCAAUAAGCGGAGGAAAAAGAAACCAACAGGGAUUGCCCUAGUAACGGCGAGUGAAGCGGCAACAGCUCAAAUUUGAAAUCUGGCCCCUUUGGGGUCCGAGUUGUAAUUUGCAGAGGGUGCUUUGGCGUUGGCGGCGGUCUAAGUUCCUUGGAACAGGACAUCGCAGAGGGUGAGAAUCCCGUAUGUGGUCGCAUGCCUUCGCCGUGUAAAGCCCCUUCGACGAGUCGAGUUGUUUGGGAAUGCAGCUCUAAAUGGGAGGUAAAUUUCUUCUAAAGCUAAAUACCGGCCAGAGACCGAUAGCGCACAAGUAGAGUGAUCGAAAGAUGAAAAGCACUUUGGAAAGAGAGUCAAACAGCACGUGAAAUUGUUGAAAGGGAAGCGCUUGCAGCCAGACUUGCCUGUAGUUGCUCACCCGGGCUCCUGCCCGGGGCACUCUUCUGCAGGCAGGCCAGCAUCAGUUUGGGCGGUCGGAUAAAGGGCUCUGACACGUACUUCCCCUCGGGGUUGACAUACAGGGGAGCCGCAAUGCGACCAGCCCGGACUGAGGUCCGCGCAUCUGCUAGGAUGCUGGCGUAAUGGCUGUAAGCGGCCCGUCUUGAAACACGGACCAAGGAGUCUAACAUCUAUGCGAGUGUUUGGGUGUCAAGCCCGAGCGCGCAAUGAAAGUGAACGGAGGUGGGAGCCCCUCGGGGUGCACCAUCGACCGAUCCUGAUGUCUUCGGAUGGAUUUGAGUAAGAGCAUAGCUGUUGGGACCCGAAAGAUGGUGAACUAUGCUUGAAUAGGGUGAAGCCAGAGGAAACUCUGGUGGAGGCUCGCAGCGGUUCUGACGUGCAAAUCGAUCGUCAAAUUUGGGCAUAGGGGCGAAAGACUAAUCGAACUAUCUAGUAGCUGGUUCCUGCCGAAGUUUCCC